UACGAGGGGGACUAGCGUUGUUCGGAUUUACUGGGCGUAAAGCGCGCGUAGGCGGAUCGCUAAGUCAGGGGUGAAAUCCCAGGGCUCAACCCUGGAACUGCCUUUGAUACUGACGAUCUGGAGAUCGGGAGAGGUUGGUGGAAUUCCGAGUGUAGAGGUGAAAUUCGUAGAUAUUCGGAGGAACACCAGAAGCGAAGGCGGCCAACUGGCCCGAUACUGACGCUGAGGCGCGAAAGCGUGGGGAGCAAACAGGG
rnacentral:rRNA from 1 species